AACCUGCGGAGGGAUCAUUACGAGAGUGUCACCACUCCCAACCCAUUGUUUACCUACCCGUCCACCGUGCUUCGGCAGGCAGUCCUGUGGGACAGGGCCUCGCCCCCGCGAGGGGGUGCCUGCCGCUGGCCAACCAAAAAUUCUAGCUGUUUUUGUACCAUCUGAGUCUUCCACAAAUAAACAAAACUUUCAACAACGGAUCUCUUGGUUCUGGCAUCGAUGAAGAACGCAGCGAAAUGCGAUAAGUAAUGUGAAUUGCAGAAUUCAGUGAAUCAUCGAAUCUUUGAACGCACAUUGCGCCCACUAGUAUUCUGGUGGGCAUGCCUGUUCGAGCGUCAUUUCAACCCUCAAGCCUGGCUUGGUGUUGGGGCUCUGCGUCUGCAGUCCCUUAAAUCCAGUGGCGGACACGCUAGGUCUCCGAGCGCAGUAGUUUCUCCUCGCUCAGGGCGUCCGGCGUGGGCUUGCCUCGCACCCAUCUUUUACAAGGUUGACCUCGGAUCAGGUAGGAAUACCCGCUGAACUUAAGCAUAUCAAUA
rnacentral:rRNA from 1 species